UACGUAGGGUGCGAGCGUUAAUCGGAAUUACUGGGCGUAAAGCGUGCGUAGGCGGUUCUCCAAGUCCGUUGUGAAAGCCCCGGGCUCAACCUGGGAAUGGCAGUGGAAACUAGGGGACUGGAAUCUGGCAGAGGGGGGUGGAAUGCCGCGUGUAGCAGUGAAAUGCGUAGAGAUGUGGAGGAAUACCGAUGGCGAAGGCAGCCCCCUGGGCCAAUACUGACGCUCAUGCACGAAAGCGUGGGGAGCAAACAGG
rnacentral:rRNA from 1 species